AUGACCGAGUCCAAGGUUGGAGGAAACCAAGCAUCUUCCAUCGCUCUCGCCGUAGAGGGACCCUUCCCUCUCGCCUUGGAUCGAAAGGCGCCCCCGACGGUCAUGAGAGACGCUCACCCUAGAGCAAGGGAGAUGCCGACCUCGAGUCCUGGGAUAGUCACAGAGCACAACCUCCUAGGACAUGAGCACACCUCAUCUGACACACCGAAGCAACCUAGGACACCUGAAAGACAGCGGGAAAGCCACCGGGAGGAGCCACUGAAGAAUGAGCAGCACGGACAUCAGGAGAGGCCGCAGAACGACGAGGAGCAGGAGUCGUCGGCCGCUGAAGAGAAACACCGGGCGUCCAUGGCCAGGGACGUGCUGCUACUGCCGGGAAGAGGAACCCUAUCCCCUACCGCCGGAUCGCAGACGCCGUACCGCCGGAGCUGA
rnacentral:rRNA from 1 species